rnacentral:rRNA from 1 species
GAUGAUGCAAUCUACCCGCGGCUAGACGGAAAGACCCCAUGAACCUUUACUGUAGCUUUGCAUUGAUCUGUGAACCGGCCUGUGUAGGAUAGGUGGGAGGCUUUGAAGCGUAGUCGCUAGAUUACGUGGAGCCAUCCUUGAAAUACCACCCUGGUUUGUUUGCGGUUCUAACCUUGGUCCGUUAUCCGGAUCGGGGACAGUGCAUGGUGGGCAGUUUGACUGGGGCGGUCUCCU